rnacentral:rRNA from 1 species
GAUGAACGCUAGCGGCAGGCCUAAUACAUGCAAGUCGAACGGAUAUAUGUUUUUCGGAAUAUAUAUUAGUGGCGCACGGGUGAGUAACACGUACAUAACUUGCCCUCAAGCGGGGGAUAGCCUUGGGAAACUGAGAGUAAUACCCCAUAGAAUUAUUGGACGGCAUCGUUUGAUAAUUAAAACUACGGUGUUUGGGGAUAGAUGUGCGUCUGAUUAGCUAGUUGGUGAGGUAACUGCUCACCAAGGCGACGAUCAGUAGGGGGCGUGAGAGCGUGGCCCCCCACACGGGUACUGAGACACGGACCCGACUCCUACGGGAGGCAGCAGUAAGGAAUAUUGGUCAAUGGAGGGAACUCUGAACCAGCCAUGCCGCGUGAAGGAUGACGGCCCUCCUGGGUUGUAAACUUCUUUUGGUAUGGGGCGAAAAAACGGGAUUUAUCCUGGACUGACGGUACCAUCAGAAUAAGCACCGGCUAACUCCGUGCCAGCAGACCGCGGUAAAGUAGUCGUGU